GAUGAACGCUAGCUACAGGCUUAACACAUGCAAGUCGAGGGACCGGCGCACGGGUGAGUAACACGUAUCCAACCUGCCCUUUACUCGGGGAUAGCCUUUCGAAAGAAAGAUUAAUACCCGAUGUAAAGGUUGGGGAUGCGUUUCUUUAGGUGGUUGGUGAGGUAACGCCACACCAAGCCUUCGAUGGAUAGGGGUUCUGAGAGGGAGGGACACUGCAUUGUAAAUACGACACGGACCAAACUGCGACGGGAGGCAGCAGUAAGGAAUAUUGGGGAAGGGGCGUUGACCGGAACCAGCCAAGUAGCGUGAAGGGGGAAGGGUUAUGGAACGUAAACUUCUUUUAUAGAAGAAUAUGUAUUAUAUGAAGAAGGAUCGGCUAACUCCGUGCCAGCAGCCGCGGUAAUAC
rnacentral:rRNA from 1 species